GUUUUCUACGGAUAAUUAUUACUUUUUGUUGGUGUAAAAGACUGUAAUGCUGGAACCAUCUUCUUCAAAGCGAUGCUAUGUUGUCACUGGCUCAACCCCGCAUAAACCAGUGGAAAAGCAAUCAAGAGAGGGUAAUAGCCAUGCCAGAAAACCUUUAGAUUUCUCUGUGAAAAACUCAAGUGCUUCUGGGCAGUUUAACCAGCCCAAGUUACAAGGUCUUAAGUCGCAGAAUUAGAAAGUCGCCUCUCAAGUCACCU